rnacentral:tRNA from 1 species
CUCGGCGUAGCAAAUCGGAUAUGCAACGGUCUCAUACGCCGUCCCAAGUGAGUUCGACUCUCACCGCCGAGACCA